UACGUAGGGGGCAAGCGUUGUCCGGAAUCAUUGGGCGUAAAGAGCGCGUAGGCGGCCCUGUAAGUCCGCUGUGAAAGUCAAGGGCUCAACCCUUGGAUGCCGGUGGAUACUGCAGGGCUAGAGUCCGGAAGAGGCGAGUGGAAUUCCUGGUGUAGCGGUGAAAUGCGCAGAUAUCAGGAGGAAUACCGAUGGCGAAGGCAGGUCUCUGGGCUGACACUGACGCUCAUGCACGAAAGCGUGGGGAGCGAUCCGGG
rnacentral:rRNA from 1 species